UCCGUAGGUGAACCUGCGGAAGGAUCAUUACAGUGUGUUUAGUGUGCUCUGUGCGCAUAAAAAGAACACGUCUGUUGACUUGAUUACUCUUGAACUAAGCUAUCUGGAUCGAUUAUAAAGACGAUGACGGCAACAUCUUCUUCGAUAAAACAAACACGACGUUGGAUCGCUGAAAGAUUAUGCUACUACGAAAGGACCGUAAUUUAUAUACGGAUUUUUGAAACGCCUUCGCCUUUAGCGAAUGAGUGCUUUAAAUUCCUAUUUUACGAUCCGAAUAGUGACAGCGAAAUCUAGAUGCAAAAGCGGACUACGUGUGUAUUUCGAUGAAGGUCGUCGUCGUCGUUUAAAAAAUCGAUCGAUAACGCAGCGCGAUGGCAUACCGUCGAUUGUUAUACCUCGUAUACAAAAUCGAAGCGAGUAAGCUGUCGCGGUCGUAAAACAAACGAUUUUCGUAUGAGUAAUCGUAGCCGGCCCCGCGCACGGCUACGGUGCUCCGUACGGGUCGGCCUGUUCUUUUUCAUCUAUUCAAAAAGAUGGAAAAGGAAGUGUGGUAAACGAUCAUCGCGGGUACCUAGACCACCGUCCAACGAGAUUCUCAAAUCGCGUGCGGGGUCAUAAGAGACGACGAAUUAAAUUUCGUUUCUCGAAGGUAGUUAAAUGAUUUUCGCCCGCCGUAACGGAGUAGAUGUUUGUAGUUCGAUGACGACGACGACGACGCCGUCGUCGUCGAACUCAAAAAACGUCCUCUACGUUAAUCGUUUUAUUUUUUUCAAAAAAAGGCGCUUAUCCGGCCUAGUCGAACGAAUUACACCUACAGUGUGACAUGAAGGUGUUUUAUUUCGUUCGCAGGCGUCAAAACGGACAAUAGCGCUUUUUAAACACUUGCCACCCUAAUAUAUGUUGACGUUAGCCUUUCGAGGCGCGUUAAACAAAAGCAAAAAGAUUACCCUAAACGGUGGAUCACUUGGCUCGUGGGUCGAUGAAGAACGCAGCUAAUUGCGCGUCAACUUGUGAACUGCAGGACACAUGAACAUCGACAUUUCGAACGCACAUUGCGGUCCUCGGAUUCUGUUCCCGGACCACUCCUGGCUGAGGGUCGUAUCUAUUUCAAAGACUGCUCGGUUUUCAUCAUCGUUAGACGCAUUGCUGCUGCUGAUGCUGAACAGCAGCGCUAGUCCGACGUGGAAAACACCAGAGCGAGUUGGAUGUUCCACGCGUUGUGUUAUCGUUGCCGACGUUUAUCUCAUAAAAACGACGAGACGAUAAAAAACGACGCGACAUCUUAAAACGCGAAAGCGGCUGGAUAGUUUCCAAUAUUUAUUGCGCUAUCCGGCAUCACAAGAAGCGUCGUCGCGUAUGUGUACGUCUCUCUCAUGGUGAUAAAACACCGUGGUGAACGUCAAAAGCGAUCGUCGUGUCCGAUAUUUUCGACUGAAAAAUAAACCGGAAAAGACGUCAGAUCGCUAACACAUACUCAAGACUGGCACGCUUUGACAUAAAACUUUCGUUUUAUCGACCUCAGAGCAGGUGAGACUACCCGCUGAACUUAAGCAUAU
rnacentral:rRNA from 1 species